CCUACGGGAGGCAGCAGUGGGGAAUAUUGCACAAUGGGCGAAAGCCUGAUGCAGCAACGCCGCGUGAGCGAUGAAGGCCUUCGGGUCGUAAAGCUCUGUCCUCAAGGAAGAUAAUGACGGUACUUGAGGAGGAAGCCCCGGCUGACUACGUGCCAGCAGCCGCGGUAAUACGUAGGGGGCUAGCGUUAUUCGGAAUUACUGGUCGUAAAGGGGGCGUAGGUGGUUUCUUAAGGCAGAGGUAAAAGGCUACGGCACAACCGUAGUAAGCCUUUGAAACUGGGGAACUUGAGUGCAGGAGAGGAGAGUGGAAUUCCUAGUGUAGCAGUGAAAUGCGUAGAUAUUAGGAGGAACACCAGUUGCGAAGGCGGCUCUCUGGACUGUAACUGACACUGAGGCACGAAAGCGUGGGGAGCAAACAGGAUUAGAUACCCUGGUAGUC
rnacentral:rRNA from 1 species